rnacentral:rRNA from 1 species
ACGAACGCUGGCGGCGCGCCUCACACAUGCAAGUCGCACGAGCGAGAGAGAGCUUGCUUUCUCGAGCGAGUGGCGAACGGGUGAGUAACGCGUGAGGAACCUGCCUCAAAGAGGGGGACAACAGUUGGAAACGACUGCUAAUACCGCAUAAGCCCACGACCCGGCAUCGGGUAGAGGGAAAAGGAGCAAUCCGCUUUGAGAUGGCCUCGCGUCCGAUUAGCUAGUUGGUGAGGUAACGGCCCACCAAGGCGACGAUCGGUAGCCGGACUGAGAGGUUGAACGGCCACAUUGGGACUGAGACACGGCCCAGACUCCUACGGGAGGCAGCAGUGGGGAAUAUUGCACAAUGGGGGAAACCCUGAUGCAGCGACGCCGCGUGGAGGAAGAAGGUCUUCGGAUUGUAAACUCCUGUUGUUGAGGAAGAUAAUGACGGUACUCAACAAGGAAGUGACGGCUAACUACGUG